rnacentral:tRNA from 1 species
UUUGUGAUAGCUCGGUAGAAAGAGCUUUAAACUGACGAUCCAAAUGUCCCGGUUCGAUUCCGGGUCACGGUA